rnacentral:rRNA from 1 species
AGAGUUUGAUCCUGGCUCAGAUUGAACGCUGGCGGCAGGCCUAACACAUGCAAGUCGAGCGGUAGCACAGGAGAGCUUGCUCUCCGGGUGACGAGCGGCGGACGGGUGAGUAAUGUCUGGGAAACUGCCUGAUGGAGGGGGAUAACUACUGGAAACGGUAGCUAAUACCGCAUAAUGUCUACGGACCAAAGUGGGGGACCUUCGGGCCUCACGCCAUCAGAUGUGCCCAGAUGGGAUUAGCUAGUAGGUGGGGUAAUGGCUCACCUAGGCGACGAUCCCUAGCUGGUCUGAGAGGAUGACCAGCCACACUGGAACUGAGACACGGUCCAGACUCCUACGGGAGGCAGCAGUGGGGAAUAUUGCACAAUGGGCGCAAGCCUGAUGCAGCCAUGCCGCGUGUGUGAAGAAGGCCUUAGGGUUGUAAAGCACUUUCAGCGAGGAGGAAGGGUUCAGUGUUAAUAGCACUGUGCAUGGACGUACUCGCAGAAGAAGC